UAAGGAAUAUUGGUCAAUGGACGCAAGUCUGAACCAGCCAUGCCGCGUGAAGGAUGAAGGUCCUCUGGAUUGUAAACUUCUUUUAUCUGGGACGAAAACGGGAUUUUUAUCUCAAUUGACGGUACCAGAGGAAUAAGCACCGGCUAACUCCGUGCCAGCAGCCGCGGUAAUACGGAGGGUGCGAGCGUUAUCCGGAUUUACUGGGUUUAAAGGGUGCGUAGGUGGGCUUAUAAGUCAGUGGUGAAAUCUCCGAGCUUAACUUGGAAACUGCCGUUGAUACUAUAGGUCUUGAAUUAUCUGGAGGUAAGCGGAAUAUGUCAUGUAGCGGUGCAAUGCUUAGAUAUGACAUAGAACACCAAUUGCGAAGGCAGCUUACUACAUAUAAAUUGACGCUGAGGCAC
rnacentral:rRNA from 1 species